GACGUAGGGCGCGAGCGUUGUCCGGAUUUCUUGGGCGUAAAGAGCUCGUAGGCGGCUUGUCGCGUCGACUGUGAAAUCCCGCGGCUCAACUGCGGGUCUGCAGUCGAUACGGGCAGGCUAGAGUUCGGUAGGGGAGACUGGAAUUCCUGGUGUAGCGGUGAAAUGCGCAGAUAUCAGGAGGAACACCGAUGGCGAAGGCAGGUCUCUGGGCCGAUACUGACGCUGAGGAGCGAAAGCGUGGGGAGCGAACAGG
rnacentral:rRNA from 1 species